UCAGUCGGUUAAGCGGCCGACUUCGGCUCAGGUCAUGAUCUCGCGGUCCGUGAGUUCAAGCCCCGCGUCGGGCUCUGUGCUGACAGCUCAGAGCCUGGAGCCUGUUUCAGAUUCUGUGUCUCCCUCUCUCUCUGCCCCUCCCCUGCUCAUGCUCUGUCUCUCUCUGUCUCAAAAAUAAAUAAAUGUUAAAAAAAAAAAAAGUUAAAAAAAAAUAGGCAUAUCUAUAAAGAGAAAACCUAAAAAGGGAAAUUCUGAAGCUGAAAAGUACAAUAACUGAAAUUGAAAAUUCACUAGCAAUAUUCAAAAAUAGAUUUGAGCAGGCAAAAGGAAAAAUCAGUGAACUUGAAGAUAGAACAAUGGAAAUUAUUCAGGCUGAGGAAUAGGAAGCAGAAAGAUUGAAGAAAAGAAAUGGAGCUAAAGGAAAUAUGGGACAACACAAAAUGUAGCCACAUACUUAUCAUGGGAGUCCCAGAAAGCAAAGUGAAAGAGGCAGAGAAAACAUUUGAAUAAUGGCUGAAAACUUCUCAAAUUUAAUGAAAGCCAUGAAUAUAAACAUCCAAGGAGCUCAACAAAUUCCAAGUAAGAUGAAGCUACAGACCCACAUUGAAACACAUAAUCAAACUCUCAAAAGACAAAGACAAAGAACAAAACUUGAAAGCAGCAAAUCAUACAAGUUCUCCAAUAAGAUUAUCUGCAGAUUUCUUAUCAGAAAUUGUAGAGGUCAUAGGACAGUGGGCCAAUAUAUUCAAAGUGCUCAAAAAUACUAUCAACCAAGAUUCCUACAUCCAGCAAAACUAUUCUUCAAAAAUGAGGGGAAAAUCAAGACAUUUCCAGAGAAUAAAAGCUGAGAUGGUUUAUGACCAUUAGACCUGCCCUGCAGGAGCUGCUGGAGGGAGUCCUGCAAGGUGAAACGAAAUGGUAUUAGAUAGUAACUCAAAGCCAUAUGGAGAAACAAAGAUCUCAAUAAAAGUAAAUACAGGGGCAUCUUUAAAAGGUAGUGUUAUUGUAAUAAUGGUUUGUAACUGUACUUUUUGUUUUUUACAUGAGUUAAGAGACUAAUACAUUAAAAGAAAGAACAGUUAUUGGUGUAAAAGCUA